AUUGAACGCUGGCGGCAUGCCUUACACAUGCAAGUCGAACGGUAACGGGCCUUCGGGUGCCGACGAGUGGCGAACGGGUGAGUAAUACAUCGGAACGUGCCCGAUCGUGGGGGAUAACGAGGCGAAAGCUUUGCUAAUACCGCAUACGAUCUACGGAUGAAAGCAGGGGACCGCAAGGCCUUGCGCGGACGGAGCGGCCGCUGGCAGAUUAGGUAGUUGGUGGGAUAAAAGCUUACCAAGCCGACGAUCUGUAGCUGGUCUGAGAGGAUGAUCAGCCACACUGGGACUGAGACACGGCCCAGACUCCUACGGGAGGCAGCAGUGGGGAAUUUUGGACAAUGGGCGCAAGCCUGAUCCAGCCAUGCCGCGUGCAGGAUGAAGGCCUUCGGGUUGUAAACUGCUUUUGUACGGAACGAAAAGCCGUCUUUUAAUACAGGAGGGUCAUGACGGUACCGUAAGAAUAAGCACCGGCUAACUACGUG
rnacentral:rRNA from 1 species